UACGGAGGGGGCAAGCGUUGUUCGGAUUUACUGGGCGUAAAGGGCGCGUAGGCGGAACAGUCCGUCCGAUGUGAAAGUGCUACCGCUCAACGGAGCAAAGUCAUCGGAAACAGCUGUUCUUGAGUCCGGGAGAGGUGAGUGGAAUUGCCGGUGUAGCGGUGGAAUGUGUAGAUAUCGGCAAGAACACCAGUGGCGAAGGCGGCUCACUGGCCCGGUUCUGACGCUGAAGCGCGAAAGCGUGGGGAGCGAACAGG
rnacentral:rRNA from 1 species